ensembl:snRNA U6 U6 spliceosomal RNA
UUGCUUCAGCAGCAUAUGCACUAAAUUUGGGGCAAUACAUGAGAAGGUUACCAUGGCCCCUGUGCAAAGAUAACAUACAAAUUCAUGAAGUGUUAUAAUUUUUU